rnacentral:rRNA from 1 species
UUGUUUGUUUUUUAAUUAAAAACUAGAAUGAACGGUUUUACAAUUAAUUUCUUUUUUAAUAUUUAUAUAUUAAAUUUAUAAUAAAUAUAAAAAUAUAUUUAUGAUAUAAAAAGACGAUAAGACCCUAUUGAACUUUACUUUUGUUUAGUUGGGGCAACUUUAUAAAUAUAAUUUUAUAUAAAUUUUUCUUAAAAAUGACCUAAUUCAAUUAAUUAAUUAAUUAAGUUACCAUAGGGAUAACAGCGUAAUUAUUUUUUUAAGUUCUUAUUUAAAAAAUAGUUUACGACCUCGAUGUUGAAUUAUUAUUCUAAAUAAAGCAAAAAUUAUUUAAGUAAGUCUGUUCGACCUUUAAAAUAUUACAUGAUUUGAGUUCAAAC